rnacentral:rRNA from 1 species
UACGGAGGGUGCAAGCGUUAUCCGGAUUCACUGGGUUUAAAGGGUGCGUAGGUGGGUUGGUAAGUCAGUGGUGAAAUCUCCGUGCUUAACAUGGAAACUGCCAUUGAUACUACUGAUCUUGAAUUUUCCGGAGGUAAGCGGAAUAUGUCAUGUAGCGGUGAAAUGCUUAGAUAUGACAUAGAACACCAAUUGCGAAGGCAGCUUACUACAGGGAUAUUGACACUGAGGCACGAAAGCGUGGGGAGCGAACAGG